UUUCUCCCUGGCUUCGUUAUGGUGUCAGAUCAACAUUCCAAACCUCCUUCUGGACAGCGGUUGAGCCUGUGAAAAAAAGUGAUUAAAACGAGAGGCAGCAGGCACCGGGCUCGCGGACUCUGGGUCCCGGGAACACCCACGCGGCUUCAAGAAGAGGGAGCGAGUCUGGAAACCGAAACCGGCCCUGGGCGCACAGACGAUGGCCUCGGGGCUUGCUCGUCCCGCCCGCUGGCCGCAGGUGCGCGAGCACCCCCACCCACCCCUGGGCGAUCUCAGCCCGGGGACCGCCCCCCCGACCCCCAGUCUCCUGUCGG
rnacentral:lncRNA from 1 species